rnacentral:rRNA from 1 species
GAUGAACGCUGGCGGCGUGCUUAACACAUGCAAGUCGAACGAAGCGCUUUGGAUGGAUCCUUCGGGUGACGGAAGAAGUGACUUAGUGGCGGACGGGUGAGUAACGCGUGGGUAACCUGCCUCACACAGGGGGAUAACAGUUAGAAAUGACUGCUAAUACCGCAUAUGCACACAGUACCGCAUGGUACAGGGUGGAAAGAUUUAUCGGUGUGGGAUGGACCCGCGUUGGAUUAGCUAGUUGGCAGGGUAACGGCCUACCAAGGCGACGAUCCAUAGCCGGCCUGAGAGGGUGGACGGCCACAUUGGGACUGAGACACGGCCCAA